CACGUAGGCGGACUGAUCAGUUGGGGGUGAAAGCCCGGGGCUUAACCUCGGAACUGCCUUCAAUACUGUCAGUCUUGAGUUCGGGAGAGGUGAGUGGAAUUCCUAGUGUAGAGGUGAAAUUCGUAGAUAUUAGGAAGAACACCAGUGGCGAAGGCGGCUCACUGGCCCGAUACUGACGCUGAGGUGCGAAAGCGUGGGGAGCAAACA
rnacentral:rRNA from 1 species